CGUCUAAGCGCGUCGUACCUACGCCGCCGCAGAGCACCGACGGAGAACCGUCGCGACCACAACUACACAACUACUACGCUAUACGCGCUCGCCCGACACACGACACCCGACCGCCGUCGUCCCCCGGUGCAGUGUAACAUUAUCAUCGUAUAAUUAAAUAUUAAUGGUAGUAUACAGUAUCUGAACGCUCGAUAAUAGUAUUGUAUAAACGUAUUUUAAUACUGUAGCACUGCUGCUGUUAAUAAUAAUUAUAAUAUUAUCGUUUUUUUUAUCGCGUUGAUUAGCGCAGGCACCUGUAUUAUAUUCAACAGGCGCGAAAGAGAAGAAAAAAAAAAAAGUGCGAUUUACCCCGCGGUCGAUUAAAGUACUCCGGUAUUGCCUGCAUCAAUAGCAUUACUCCGGAAAUGUACAACAGUUACACAACCGUACAAUAAAUUCAUACUAAUAUCCGGAAAUUCGAUCGAUCGUGCCCUACACGCGCGCACGUGCGCCCGCCGCCGCCGAGACCGCGCUCGAAUUGUGUCCGUCUCGCGAUCUCUUCCCGCGCGUUUUUGCUCCGACCGCGGAUUUCCGUAAUAAC